CUUGAUUCAAAGUUUUGAUCCAGAUCUUAACAAUAGAGCUUCUCAAAAGUUCAAAGAUUUAGCAAACACAAUAACAACCGCACUCGAUAACAUCUUUAGAACCCAAUUUGGGAGAAGAUUCCUUCGAUCUUUGAUACGCUCAUUCAGACCAGGUUCAGUGGUGGUAGAUUCCGAGCUAAUUUUUGCCAAUGCCAGCUUAGUGCCAGCAGCUAUUGAAGCACAAAUCACUCUGGUAGAGGCAGCGUCCAACAAUUCCAACUUCUCCCUGCCAGUGAAUGUGUCAACCAUUGUUGCAACUGGACCUACACCUGUCAACGAAACAACUGCUGCCCCCAAUGCUACAGUGGCCCCAACUGCUGCCCCCAAUUCUACAGUGGCCCCAACUGCUGCCCCUAAUGGUACAGUGGCCCCAACUGCUGCCCCCAAUGCUACAGUGGCCCCAACUGCUGCCGCUAAUGCUA